rnacentral:rRNA from 1 species
CCUACGGGAGGCAGCAGUGAGGAAUAUUGGUCAAUGGACGGAAGUCUGAACCAGCCAUGCCGCGUGCAGGAAGACGGCUCUAUGAGUUGUAAACUGCUUUUGUACAAGGGUAAACCUGAAUACGUGUAUUCAGCUGAAAGUACUGUACGAAUAAGGAUCGGCUAACUCCGUGCCAGCAGCCGCGGUAAUACGGAGGAUCCAAGCGUUAUCCGGAUUUAUUGGGUUUAAAGGGUGCGUAGGCGGAUUGAUAAGUUAGAGGUGAAAUGUCCGGGCUUAACUCGGGAACUGCCUCUAAUACUGUUGGUCUAGAGAACAGAUGCGGUAGGCGGAAUGUAUGGUGUAGCGGUGAAAUGCUUAGAGAUCAUACAGAACCCCGAUUGCGAAGGCAGCUUACCAAUCUAUAUCUGACGUUGAGGCACGAAAGCGUGGGGAGCAAACAGGAUUAGAUACCCCGGUAGUC